AGUUAGGCAUGGCAAUUCUUUAGCUUUAGCUUUGAUUUUUAUAACAGCAGUUGUAUGCUCACUGCUCCAAUUAGCAGGGUUUUUCCGUAAUCUUGCAUAUAGAGGAAAUUUAUCAGCAAAGGAUAUAGCCCGUUCUAUAGAUACCACUAAUCCGGCC